UUGCAGUCAAAAGCCCGACUCGUGACACGGCCUCUUCACAGCUGCAGGAGUCGGCACGCCUGAGGACAGGGCACAGGACCUGGACCUUAUCUAAAACAACCCAAAGCCAUGGAGAGAAAUAGGGAACAGGCAGAGAGAUGGUGACAUUGCCUGGUGGGGACUGUCCCCUCCUUGUGACGGGGUGUUUCAGCUCUGGCCCCCCAGGAAAGCGCAGAGGGCUCGUGAAUUGGGUCUGCACCUCGUGAAUUGGGUCUGCACCAGGACUCCAAUACCUGCCUGUCUUGCAAUACAACUCCUGGAAAUUCCAGCUGUGAAGGGAUGACUAGAGAUCUUGGACCUGUCCUGGCUCGGGGCCUCUCAUUGAUUCCUGUUUGGAUUAAAGCCAGGAACGGAGCCCAGCAUUCCUGAUCGUCGACCUCCUGUUGCUGGUUGUGCAGCAUCCUAGCAAAAUGCGUGCGGAAUCGCGCUCCAGGUGCGAACCGUCAGUGAGGCCCCAGCUCAUCCUCCAGCUCCAGGCUGG